AUUCCAAUCGAACUCGGAGAUAGCUGGUUCUCCCCGAAAUAGCUUUAGGGCUAGCGUUAUGUUAGAUUACCGGAGGUAAAGCACUGAAUGGGCUAGGGGGCGAUAAGCUUACUGAACCCUAUCAAACUCUGAAUGCCGGCUAAUUGAUGAUCAGCAGUCAGACAGUGUGAGAUAAGUUUCAUUGUCAAAAGGGAAACAGCCCAGACCCACAGCUAAGGUCCCAAAUUCAUGCUAAGUGGAAAACGAUGUGGAAUUGCGAAAACAACCAGGAUGUUGGCUUAGAAGCAGCCACUCAUUAAAAGAGUGCGUAAUAGCUCACUGGUCGAGUGACUCUGCGCGGAAAAUAUAACGGGGCUAAGUAUGCAACCGAAGCUUAGGAUGUCCGCAAGGGCGUGGUAGGGGAGCGUCGUGUACGGGGUGAAGUCGCAGCGGAAGCAGCGGUGGACUGUACAGGAGUGAGAAUGCCGGAAUGAGUAGCGAGAAUUAUGUGGGAAUCAUAAUGGCCGAAAAUCUAAGGUUUCUUGGGGAAGGUUCGUCCGCCCAAGGUAAGCCGGGAGCUAAGGCGAGGCCGCAAGGCGUAGUCGAUGCACAUACGGUUGAAAUUCCGUAGCCGCCGAAAUUGUUAAGCACAGGGACACAUAGAGAUAUCCGAACCCGGGCGUUGGUUGACCCGGGCGCAAGGGACCGAACAUCAGUAGGGAAGUCGGAGAUGCUCUGUGGCGAGAAAAGCUGUGUGUAUUGAUUAGGCGCCCGUACCGCAAACCGACACAGGUAGAUGAGGAGAGAAUCCUAAGGCCAACGGGAGAAGGGUUGUUAAGGAACUCGGCAAAUUGACCCCGUAACUUCGGAAGAAGGGGAGCCCCCUACGGGGGGUCGCAGAGAAAUGGCCCAAGCAACUGUUUACCAAAAACACAGGUCUAUGCUAAAUCGAAAGAUGACGUAUAUGGGCUGACGCCUGCCCGGUGCCGGAAGGUUAAGAGGAGAUGUCAGGCAACGAAGCAUUGAAUUUAAGCCCCGGUAAACGGCGGCCGUAACUAUAACGGUCCUAAGGUAGCGAAAUUCCUUGUCAGGUAAGUUCUGACCCGCACGAAUGGCGUAAUGAUUUGGGCACUGUCUCAACAGCCCGCCCGGCGAAAUUGUAGUACUGGUGAAGAUGCCAGUUACCCGCAACUAGACGGAAAGACCCCAUGGAGCUUUACUGCAGCUUAAUACUGAAAUUCGGUAGUACAUGUACAGGAUAGGUGGGAGACUGAGAAAUACAGGCGUCAGCUUGUAUGGAGUCGCUGUUGGGAUACCACUCUUGUACUGCUGGGUUUCUAACCUGCGGCCGUGAAUCCGGUCGGGGGACACUGUUAGGCGGGCAGUUUGACUGGGGCGGUCGCCUCCCAAAAGGUAACGGAGGCGCUCAAAGGUUCGUUCAGCACGGACGGAAAUCGUGCAAUGAGUGUAAACGCAUAAACGAGCCUAACUGCGACACCGACGGGUGGAGCAGUAACGAAAGUUGGAGUUAGUGAUCCGGUGGUAUGUGAGUGGAAAUGCCA
rnacentral:rRNA from 1 species